rnacentral:rRNA from 1 species
CCUACGUGAGGCAGCAGUGGGGAAUAUUGCCCAAUGGGGGAAACCCUGAUGCAGCGACGCCGCGUGAGUGACGAAGUAUUUCGGUAUGUAAAGCUCUAUCUGUAGGGAAGAAAAUUACGGUACCUGAUUAUGAAGCCACGGCUAACUACGUGCAAGCAGCGGCUGUUAGACGUAGGGGGCAAGCGUUAUCCGGAUUUGCUGGGUGUGAAGGGAGCGUAGACGGCAGCACAAGUCGAGAGUGAAAUGCCGGGGGUUAAACCCGGAACUGCGUUGGAAACUGGGCGGCUAGAGUGAAGGAGAGGUAAGUGGAAUUCCCAGUGUAGCGGUGAAAUGCGUAGAUAUUAGGAGGAACACCAAUGGCGAAGGCGGCAUACUGGA